AUACGUAGGGAGCGAGCGUUGUCCGGAAUUACUGGGUGUAAAGGGAGCGUAGGCGGGAUGGCAAGUCAGAUGUGAAAACUAUGGGCUCAACCCAUAGACUGCAUUUGAAACUGUUGUUCUUGAGUGAAGUAGAGGUAAGCGGAAUUCCUGGUGUAGCGGUGAAAUGCGUAGAUAUCAGGAGGAACAUCGGUGGCGAAGGCGGCUUACGGGGCUUUUACUGACGCUGAGGAACGAAAGCGUGGGGAGCAACCAGGAUUAGAUACCCUGGUAGUCCACGCUGUAAACGAUGAUUACUAGGGGUGGGGGGACUGACCCCUUCCGUGCCGCAGUUAACACAAUAAGUAAUCCACCUGGGGAGUACGGCCGCAAGGUUGAAACUCAAAGGAAUUGACGGGG
rnacentral:rRNA from 1 species